AUUGAACGCUGGCGGCAGGCCUAACACAUGCAAGUCGAGCGAGCGGCGGACGGGUGAGUAAUGUCUGGGAAACUGCCUGAUGGAGGGGGAUCACUACUGGAAACGGUAGCUAAUACCGCAUACCAUCAGAUGUGCCCAGAUGGGAUUAGCUGGUAGGUGGGGUAACGGCUCACCUAGGCGACGAUCCCUAGCUGGGCUGAGAGGAUGACCAGCCACACUGGAACUGAGACACGGUGCAGACUCCUACGUGAGGCAGCAGUGGGGAAUAUGGCACAAUGGGCGAAAGCCUGAUGCAGCCAUGCCGCGUGUGUGAAGAAGGCCUUCGGGUGGUAAAGCACUUUCAGCGAGGAGGCGUUACUCGCAGAAGAAGCACCGGCUAACUCCGUGCCAGCAGCCGCGGUAAUAC
rnacentral:rRNA from 1 species